CGCCAGACUCCUACGGGAGGCAGCAGUGGGGGAUAUUGCACAAUGGGGGAAACCCUGAUGCAGCGACGCCGCGUGAGCGAUGAAGUAUUUCGGUAUGUAAAGCUCUAUCAGCAGGGAAGAAAAUGACGGUACCUGACUAAGAAGCCCCGGCUAACUACGUGCCAGCAGCCGCGGUAAUACGUAGGGGGCAAGCGUUAUCCGGAUUUACUGGGUGUAAAGGGAGCGUAGACGGCAUGGCAAGUCAGAUGUGAAAGCCCGGGGCUCAACCCCGGGACUGCAUUUGAAACUGUCAGGCUGGAGUGCAGGAGAGGUAAGUGGAAUUCCUAGUGUAGCGGUGAAAUGCGUAGAUAUUAGGAGGAACACCAGUGGCGAAGGCGGCUUACUGGACUGUAACUGACGUUGAGGCUCGAAAGCGUGGGGAGCAAACAGGAUUAGAUACCCCCGUA
rnacentral:rRNA from 1 species